GGGAAAGAAUCAUCUCGUCACGCUUUUCUGGCGACAGGAACUGAAAUGUUUAUAAAUUAAUCAAUUUUCUGGUUACUUUGGUA
ensembl:ncRNA M04C9.9 ncRNA